rnacentral:rRNA from 1 species
AGAGUUUGAUCAUGGCUCAGAUUGAACGCUGGCGGCAUGCCUUACACAUGCAAGUCGAACGCGAAAGGGGGCAACCCCGAGUAGAGUGGCGAACGGGUGAGCAAUACAUCGGAACAUUUCCUGUAGCGGGGGACAACCUCGAGAAAUCGAGGCUAAUACCGCAUACGAUCUACGGAUGAAAGUGGGGGACCGCAAGGCCCCACACUAUAGGAGUGGCCGAUGCCGGAUUAGCUAGUUGGUGGGGUAACGGCCUACCAAGGCGACGAUCCGUAGCUGGUUUGAGAGAACGACCAGCCACACUGGGACUGAGACACGGCCCAGACUCCUACGGGAGGCAGCAGUGGGGAAUUUUGGACAAUGGGCGAAAGCCUGAUCCAGCCAUGCCGCGUGAGUGAAGAAGGCCUUCGGGUUGUAAAGCUCUUUCGGCCGGGACGAAAUGGCGCGGGGUAACAUCCCGCGUCGAUGACGGUACCGGAAGAAGAAGGACCGGCUAACUACGUGCCAGCAGCCGCGGUAAUACGUAGGGUCCAAGCGUUAAUCGGAAUUACUGGGCGUAAAGCGUGAGUAGGCGGUUUCGCAAGUCCGAUGUGAAAUCCCCGGGCUUAACCUGGGAACUGCGUUGGAAACUACGAAGCUAGAGUGCGGCAGAGGGGGGUGGAAUUCCAGGUGUAGCAGUGAAAUGCGUAGAGAUCUGGAGGAACACCGAUGGCGAAGGCAGCCCCCUGGGUUAGCACUGACGCUCAUACACGAAAGCGUGGGGAGCAAACAGGAUUAGAUACCCCAGUAGUCC